rnacentral:misc_RNA from 1 species
GAUGAAGAACGUAGCGAAAUGCGAUAAGUAAUGCGAAUUGCAGAAUUUCCGUGAGUCAUCGAAUCUUUGAACGCACAUUGCGCCCACUGGUAUUCCGGUGGGCAUGCCUGUUCGAGCGUCAUUAUCCUCCCUCAAACCUCGGGUUUGGUGUUGGACCCAAGUUGUGUGAACAACUGGUCUUAAAGACAAUGACGGCGUCCGUGGGACCCUCGGUGCAACGAGCUUUUAGGAGCACGCGUCGAGUUCCAAGGACCUUCCGGGCCGGUCUCCUUUACCAUUUUACAAGGUUGACCUCGGAUCAGGUAGGAAUACCCGCUGAACUUAAGCAUAUCAAUAAGCGGAGGA